rnacentral:lncRNA from 1 species
UCCUCCCCCGGCCUCACCAACACUGCCACAAUCGCCUCCUCCAAGUAACGUGACAUUGCCUCCUCCAAUGGCUUCCCCACCCACAGAAUCCGCUCCUCCAACUGUUAGUCCUCCACCUAUCCCACCUGCUAGUUCACCACCACCUAUAUCUUCUCCUCCGCCUUCCAGUUCACCACCACCUCAAUCUUCUCCUCCCCCUGCUAGUUCUCCUCCAACUACACCUAGCCCACCAGUUAGUUCAUCACCACCUCCAGAAGUUGAGCCUCCACCUGUCUCACCUCCCCCACAACCAACUGUUCCUACAAGUUCACCUCCACCGCCUCCAAAAGAUGAUCCUCCUCCUACCUCAC